AUAAUAAAUAGCUGAGAACUCAAUGCAAAGAGAGUGGAGUUCAGACCCAGCGCUGACUUCCCACACUGGUGUGGGUUUGACAAGCCACAAGCAGCAAGGCACAAGAAACCUCUACAAGUACCACACCUGGACAGAGGCCGAGGUUCGUGGUGAUGGGCAGUGAAGACUGUAUCUCAGCAGGACCUCUAGGAAAACUGGAAACAAAUGAAGACCACCCGCAUGAGAACAGACAGAAGCUGUUUACUUAGAACUUGCAAAGGAGUCUGCCAUCAUUUGCAUUUGGCAGGGACUCAAAAGCAGGCAGAGACUGGAAAAAUUCACAGUGGAAAAAAAAGGGAAGGCUUCAGGUGUGCUGUGAUUGGAGUUGUUGGCACGGGGACACCAGAGGAUCAUGGAUGGAACUGGAGGCCAUUAUCCUUAACAAAGUUAUGCAGGAACAGAAAACCGAAUACUGCAUGUUCUCACUUAUAAGUAGGAGCUAAAUGGUAAGAACACAUGGACACAGAGGGAAACAACAGACACUGGGGCCUAUCUGAGGGUGGAGGGUUGGGGAGGACAGGACAAGGAAAAAUUACUAAUGGGUACUAGGCUUAACACCUGAGUGAUGAAAUAAUAUGUACAACAAACCCCUGUGACAUGAAUUUAACU
rnacentral:lncRNA from 1 species